AAAAGAGAGUUAAAAAGUACGUGAAAUUGUUGAAAGGGAAGCGUUUAUGACCAGACUUGGGCUUGGUUAAUCAUCUGGGGUUCUCCCCAGUGCACUUUUCCAGUCCAGGCCAGCAUCAGUUUUCGCCGGGGGAUAAAGGCUUCGGGAAUGUGGCUCUCUCCGGGGAGUGUUAUAGCCCGUUGCGUAAUACCCUGGCGGGGACUGAGGUUCGCGCAUCUGCAAGGAUGCUGGCGUAAUGG
rnacentral:rRNA from 2 species